GACAGUGUGACAUAGUGGUUUGAAUGUUGGAGUAUAGCUCUGGAGACCAGGGUUUGAUUCCCAGCUCAGUCA